GUGAGGAAUCUUGCGCAAUGGGGGAAACCCUGACGCAGCAACGCCGCGUGAGUGAGGAAGGCCUUCGGGUCGUAAAGCUCUGUCAGUUGGAAAGAAAUGCUUGAGAGUUAAUACCUUUCAAGCUUGACGGUACCAACAGAGGAAGCACCGGCUAACUCCGUGCCAGCAGCCGCGGUAAUACGGGGGGUGCAAGCGUUGUUCGGAAUUAUUGGGCGUAAAGAGCGUGUAGGCGGCCGGAUAUGUCAGAUGUGAAAUCCCUGGGCUUAACCCAGGAAGUGCAUUUGAAACUGUCCGGCUAGAGUAGGGGAGAGGGAAGUGGAAUUCCUGGUGUAGAGGUGAAAUUCGUAGAUAUCAGGAGGAACACCGGUGGCGAAGGCGACUUCCUGGCCCUAUACUGACGCUGAGACGCGAGAGCGUGGGUAGCAAACAGGAUUAGAAACCCUAGUAGUCC
rnacentral:rRNA from 1 species